GGAAAGGCGCGCGAUACAGGGUGACAGCCCCGUACACAAAAAUGCACAUGCUGUGAGCUCGAUGAGUAGGGCGGGACACGUGGUAUCCUGUCUGAAUAUGGGGGGACCAUCCUCCAAGGCUAAAUACUCCUGACUGACCGAUAGUGAACCAGUACCGUGAGGGAAAGGCGAAAAGAACCCCGGCGAGGGGAGUGAAAAAGAACCUGAAACCGUGUACGUACAAGCAGUGGGAGCACGCUUAGGCGUGUGACUGCGUACCUUUUGUAUAAUGGGUCAGCGACUUAUAUUCUGUAGCAAGGUUAACCGAAUAGGGGAGCCGAAGGGAAACCGAGUCUUAACUGGGCGUUAAGUUGCAGGGUAUAGACCCGAAACCCGGUGAUCUAGCCAUGGGCAGGUUGAAGGUUGGGUAACACUAACUGGAGGACCGAACCGACUAAUGUUGAAAAAUUAGCGGAUGACUUGUGGCUGGGGGUGAAAGGCCAAUCAAACCGGGAGAUAGCUGGUUCUCCCCGAAAGCUAUUUAGGUAGCGCCUCGUGAAUUCAUCUCCGGGGGUAGAGCACUGUUUCGGCAAGGGGGUCAUCCCGACUUACCAACCCGAUGCAAACUGCGAAUACCGGAGAAUGUUAUCACGGGAG
rnacentral:rRNA from 1 species